CCUAUGGGCGGCAGCAGUGAGGAAUAUUGGUCAAUGGGCGCGAGCCUGAACCAGCCAAGUAGCGUGAAGGAUGACUGCCCUACGGGUUGUAAACUUCUUUUAUAAAGGAAUAAAGUGAGGCACGUGUGCCUAUUUGUAUGUACUUUAUGAAUAAGGAUCGGCUAACUCCGUGCCAGCAGCCGCGGUAAUACGGAGGAUCCGAGCGUUAUCCGGAUUUAUGGGGGUUAAAGGGAGCGUAGAUGGGUUGUUAAGUCAGUUGUGAAAGUUUGCGGCUCAACCGUAAAAUUGCAAUUGAUACUGGCAGUCUUGAGUACAGUUGAGGUAGGCGGAAUUCGUGGUGUAGCGGUGAAAUGCUUAGAUAUCACGAAGAACUCCGAUUGCGAAGGCAGCUUACUAAACUGCCACUGACAUUGAUGCUCGAAAGUGUGGGUAUCAAACAGGAUUAGAUACCCUAGUAGUC
rnacentral:rRNA from 1 species